rnacentral:rRNA from 1 species
AAGACGAUGAUAUGUAGCUGGACUGAGAGGUUGAACGGCCACAUUGGGACUGAGACACGGCCCAAACUCCCACGGGAGGCAGCAGUAGGGAAUUUUCGGCAAUGGAGGAAACUCUGACCGAGCAACGUCGCGUGAACGAUGAAGUAUUUCGGUAUGUAAAGUUCUUUUAUUGAAGAAGAAAAAAUAGUGGAAAAACUAUCUUGACGCUAUUCAAUGAAUAAGCCCUGGCUAAUUAUGUGCCAGCAGCCGCGGUAAUACAUAAAGGGCGAGCGUUAUCCGGAAUUAUUGGGCGUAAAGGGUGCGUAGGCGGUUUGUUAAGUCUUUAGUUUAAUCUCAGUGCUUAACGCUGUUCUGCUAGAGAAACUGACUUACUAGAGUGAGAUAGAGGCAAGUGGAAUUCCAUGUGUCAGCGGUAAAAUGCGUAAAUAUAUGGAGGAACACCAGAGGCGUAGGCGGCUUGCUGGGUCUUUACUGACGCUGAGGC